ACAGAUCCUCUCCGAGAACAAGCACAACUGAGGCUGCCAAGGGAAACAAACUGGCAGGAGAAAGGGGAACAAACUGGCUUGGGAAGCAACAGGAGAAUGGGGAGAAGUAACUCAGUGAUUGAAACAAGGACACUCUGGGAAAGCUUUGUAGGUGACUGCCAAUUGUCCAAAAGCAGAGUGCUGCUGACUGCAAUUGCAGGAAGAAAAGGUGUCUGUGGCUGGGUGCAAAUAUUCUCUGUACUUUCACAACAGUAGUAUAUGUGGGAAUCCUUGUCUGCUCCAGAAGUCUUAAAGAAGUUUUGGCACCUCUGCCACCCAAGGUAAAUAAUCCCAAGAAAGACACUUGUUUCUCUAGUAUGAUCCUGCUCAGUCUCCUCAAGGAUGUAGCACAGUGCUCGACCCUCAAGGCCAAAGCCAAGCAACAAAGUGAACUUUAACCUUUGAAGAACAGGCAUGUGUGAAAAGAAAAAGCUGUGGAAACGUUUCUUGAAGACACUGGUGUCAUGCCUAAGGUGGUCCAUGCACUUUCACCCAAGAACUCCUGUUGGAAACCAGCAGCUCUAGCAAAGGAAUGUCUCUCUUUAAUGCCAGCAGCUUUGUGUGGUGACAGGACUUUUUAAAAUCUCCCAGCUGACAGGUUAUAUACACACAGUGUGACAACAUGGGGUCCUGCUGAAAUCAUGUUCUUAAGGAAGAUCCUGGUUUGCCCAGCAGGAACAGUGGUGUGCCAGAAAGGAGAUCAGUGUGCUGAGCUGCAGGAGUAUCAGAAGGGGAAGAGUGAGACAUUCCAUCGAAGGAGACUAUUAGGUCCAGUAUUCAAUGUAAUGCCUUGCUUUUAGGAUUUUCUUGACCCUCAAAAGGUGACCCUUUACUGGGUCAAGCAGAAAGAAGCUUUCUCUUGAUGUGAGCUAUGGGAUUAGCUUACACUGAGUUGCUUUUCCAAUUGAAAAUCCUUGAGGAAACUUUUCAUUGUUACUCUGAAUAAAAAAAAUCAAAUGUA